rnacentral:rRNA from 1 species
AACGAACGCUGGCGGCAUGCCUAACACAUGCGAGUCGAACGAGACCUUCGGGUCUAGUGGCGCACGGGUGCGUAACGCGUGGGAACCUGCCCUUAGGUUCGGAAUAACUCCCCGAAAGGGGUGCUAAUACCGGAUAAUGUCUUCGGACCAAAGAUUUAUCGCCUUUGGAUGGGCCCGCGUUGGAUUAGCUAGUUGGUAGGGUAAAAGCCUACCAAGGCGACGAUCCAUAGCUGGUCUGAGAGGAUGAUCAGCCACACUGGGACUGAGACACGGCCCAGACUCCUACGGGAGGCAGCAGUGGGGAAUAUUGGACGAUGGGCGAAAGCCUGAUCCAGCAAUGCCGCGUGAGUGAUGAAGGCCUUAGGGUUGUAAAGCUCUUUUACCCGGGAUGAUAAUGACAGUACCGGGAGAAUAAGCGCCGGCUAACUCCGUG